rnacentral:misc_RNA from 1 species
GGAAGUAAAAGUCGCAACAAGGUUUCCGUAGGUGAACCUGCGGAAGGAUCAUUCAUAAUAAGUGUUUUAUGGCACUUUUUUAAAUCCAUAUCCACCUUGUGUGCAAUGUCAGGGUUGAUUUUUCUCUCGAGAGGAUCAACCCCAAACAUCAACUAUAUCUCAACUCUUUGUCUGAAAAAUAUUAUGAAUAAAACAAUUCAAAAUACAACUUUCAACAACGGAUCUCUUGGCUCUC